UGCCAGCAGCCGCGGUAAUACGUAAGUUGCAAGCGUUAUCCGGAUUUAUUGGGCAUAAAGAGUGCGUAGGCGGUAUUUUAAGUCAGAUGUUAAAUCCCACAGCUCAACUGUGGUCCGCAUUUGAAACUGGAAUACUAGAGACUAGGAGAGGAAAGUGGAACUCACAGUGUAGCGGUGAAAUGCGUAGAUAUUGUGAGGAACACCAGUGGCGAAGGCGGCUUUCUGGACUAGUUCUGACGCUGAGGCACGAAAGCAUGGGGAGCGAACGGGAUUAGAUA
rnacentral:rRNA from 1 species